rnacentral:lncRNA from 1 species
AACGAUCGGGUACUUGGGGAAUAUGUAGAAUGGAAUUUAUUUACUGUUGGUUUACCUAGUACUUGCCUACCAGCCAGGCGCCCCAGGGAACGACGGCACUGAUACAGUCUCGGGUAUUAGGAUGGCAAAGGCAGCGAUAGAUAAAUUCUACUCCAAGUAUAUGUUGGGAUCACGUAAGCUGGUGCUUGACCCACAUUCAACGAUCUUUGGCAAAAGGAUGCUUGUCAAAAGUGCGAUCAUGUUCAAUUACAAGAACAAAAGAUAG